rnacentral:rRNA from 1 species
UCGUGGAUUAAUUUGUCUGGUUAAUUCCGUUAACGAACGAGACCUUAACUUGCUAAUUGGAGUAUGAUAAAUCAAUAUUAUGCUCUGUUAGAAGGACCAUGUGUUUCUAACACAAGGAAGCGUGAGGCAAUAACA